rnacentral:lncRNA from 1 species
UGUAAUAUACUUCUCUCUUCCAGAGAGUUCCGAAAUGCUCUGACUUCUCUCUACUUUCUCUCUCUAGAUUUUCUAUGAUUUCUCGGUCUAAUAUGAAUGUUUACUGCUGUAAUAUACUUCUCUUUUCCAGAGAGUUCCAAAUGCUCUGACUUCUCUCUACUUUCUCUCUCUAGAUUUUCUAUGAUAUCUCGGUCUAAUAUGAAUGUUUACAUGGUAUCAGAGCCUCGACGACGAUCCGAUCAUGUUUCUAUG